rnacentral:lncRNA from 1 species
UUACUGGUCCUUUUUCUUUCUUUUAAAUUUUUUUGGAGACCUCACCAUUUCUUGGUUACAGCUUACAUGCCACUUCGAAGAACUGGAAGUGCUUAACUGAUGCAAACGAAUGAGCACUGCUAAGACACAAAAGGCAAAACAUGGAUACUACUGGAUAUAGAGGACUUAGCUAGACAAAAAACACUACUAGUACUUGGUACUAUGAAAAAAAUUUUCUUGUUCCCUUUGUUAGAGUAGUUGUUUUGAGCACUUGAAUUCUUGUAGAAUUUGAUCAUCAAAACGUCAUCUAACAAUUAGAAAACUGUAAAUGCUCCCGAAUAUUUAGUCAAAGCAUUAAUCUUAAUUGGGCCAUCCUGAAAUUUAUGCUGUGGAGGCAAUGGCAAUCAUUCUUAAUUUAUCCAUUGGUUAUGCCGUAGGGCAACAAGCUUUACAUCCAGCAGAGGAGAGGGAACAGAAGAAUCUUAAUGCCUUGAUAAUCACCAGGCCUGUGUUCUCCCCCUCUGACUAAUCAUUUACUCAGGACAGGAUCACCAAUCAUGAAACUUUUCAUUUGAAGUAUCCUUAGUACCAAUGUAAAAACCGUCCAUCUGUACAUGCCAGUAACAUGAAAUGGUCGAAACUUCUUGUGCAGGUCCAGCUUCAGCUGCACUCAGACAGUGUCCAUCUAUGUCUUUAUCAUAGACGUUGAACUCUUGUUGCUUGGGAUCCCACCAAAAGUGGCAAGAGUAGGUAGGUUGUCCAGGCGAA